rnacentral:misc_RNA from 1 species
UAUGAAAACGUAGCGAAAUGCGAUAAGUAGUGUGAAUUGCAGAAUUCAGUGAAUCAUCGAAUCUUUGAACGCACAUUGCGCCCCUUGGUAUUCCAUGGGGCAUGCCUGUUCGAGCGUCAUUUGUACCUUCAAGCUCUGCUUGGUGUUGGGUGUUUGUCUCGCCUCUGCGUGUAGACUCGCCUCAAAACAAUUGGCAGCCGGCGUAUUGAUUUCGGAGCGCAGUACAUCUCGCGCUUUGCACUCAUAACGACGACGUCCAAAAGUACAUUUUUACACUCUUGACCUCGGAUCAGGUAGGGAUACCCGCUGAACUUAAGCAUAUCAAUAAGCGGAGGA